AAGUCGUAACAAGGUCUCCGUUGGUGAACCAGCGGAGGGAUCAUUAAAGAGUUUAUAAAACUCCCAAAACCCAUGUGAACUUACCAUUGUUGCCUCGGCGGGAUCUACUCUGUAGCCCGCCGGUGGACCACUAAACUAUUAUUAUUUAUAGUAUCUGAGCGUCUUAUUUUAAUAAGUCAAAACUUUCAACAACGGAUCUCUUGGUUCUG
rnacentral:misc_RNA from 1 species